UCACAUACUGAAAUUCAGCGUUGAGUAAUUUUAUAUUUUAAAGAGUUUUAACUUUUUGACUUUUCAUUGGUCCUCCUCUCCUCUCGCCGAAGAUACCAAGUCUUAACCCCGAACUCAUCUCUCCUGUCCGUUAGAUUAUAGACAUUUAUCCUGAAAAGAAACGGAAAUGAGCAAUCAGAUUUUGUGUUACGUAACCAUAUAAACAUAAAUAGUACAACUCUUUCUAAUAAUUAUGAAAUAAAUUUUAAACACAUUUUCUGUAAGUAUCUGAGAUCCCUUGAUCAGUGUCUUAUAUAAACACUCCAACUCUAAGAUUGAUCUAAUGAAAUAAAAAUAGCCUUCUCCGGACAAAUUAUCAACAUAGAACACAAUGUCUUCAUCCUCUGUCUCAAAAUCUCUCCUUUCGGUCUACGUCUUAGCCAUGGUAGCUAUGCAACUCCCUCUUAUGCACAGUGUUUUGUCCCUAAACGAGACCAAUGCGUAUCUAAACCACGUAUGCAUCAAGAGUGAAGGAACAGCCAAGGGGAGUUCGUACGAAGGAGCUGUUAAACGUCUUGUAAAUUUUAUGACCACCCAACUAAGCUACGGAUUUGUCAACGGCGCGGGUGGUGAUGGUCCGACUAAUAUCUAUGCCAAGAUCCAGUGCCGGCCCGAUGCCUCUGAAUCCAUAUGCCGCUCUUGCAUCAAUACCGCAUUAUCUGAUGUAACAUCGAUCAUUUCAGUAUUGUCAAUUUAGCUAUUAUACAUGAUUACAUAUAUAAAACUUUGUGACUAUAUAUUAUGACAGCUCCGUAGGAAAUGUCCGAACAACAAAGGGAGAAUAAUAUGGUACGACAACUGUCUUCUCGACAUUUCUUCGAUCUUUAGCUUAGGUGAAAUCGAUUAUAGGUACAUAUUUUACAUGUACAACGCGAAGGAUGUGAGCAGCAAUAAAAUAGCGUUCAACAAGAACACGAAGGAGCUCCUCUGUGAGCUGAAGGAGAAAGCAAUUAAUAAAAAAGAACUGCCAUACAGGAGAGACUACCUGUAUGCGGCGGGUGCUGAAAAUCUCGGAACAACGAAAUUGUAUGCAAUGGUACAAUGUACAAAGGACUUAUCGGCAUUUAAUUGUAGUGUGUGUUUGGAUGGGAUUAUGGAAAAGCUUCCCAAAUGCUGCAAUGGUAAACAAGGAGG
rnacentral:lncRNA from 1 species